UACGUAGGGUGCAAGCGUUGUCCGGAAUUAUUGGGCGUAAAGAGCUCGUAGGCGGUCUGUUGCGUCGCGUGUGAAACCCGGGCUUAACCCCGAGCCUGCUUCCGAUACGGGCAGACUAGAGGUAGGCAGGGGAGAGCGGAACUCCUGGUGUAGCGGUGGAAUGCGCAGAUAUCAGGAAGAACACCGGUGGCGAAGGCGGCUCUCUGGGCCUUACCUGACGCUGAGGAGCGAAAGCGUGGGUAGCGAACAGG
rnacentral:rRNA from 1 species